rnacentral:rRNA from 1 species
AUGGAGAUCUACUCCAAGGAGGAGGAAUUUUGGCGCCAGCGAGGCUCUAUGAAUUGGGUGCUGUUUGGUGACGCCAACACAGCUUACUUCCAAGUCAUUGCUAAUGGUCGUAGGAGACGCUGCUCCAUUCCCCUUUUAUGGGAAAGGAGUCAGCUGUUUCAAGACCCUACGCCUAUCCGCUCGCUGGUUGACGACUUCUACAAGUCGUUAUUUGCGGGGCGUCCUCGGGGUGGUAUCGCCCUUGCCGACCAUAUUUGGUCGCCUGACCAACAAGUCUCCCUGGAGGAGAACGCGACCCUACUCGCCCCAUUUGACGCCGCGGAAGUGGAGGCUUUCGUAAAAGCCAUGAACCCGGCCUCGGCCCCGGGCCCGGAUGGACUACCGGUUCAUUUUUUCCAGGCAUUCUGGCCAAUGGUCAAGGAGAUCAUCCUUGACCUAUUCCGGGAAUUCUCUAAGGGAACAUUAGAUAUGUCCUGGCUUAACUACUGGGUCAUCUCCUUGAUUCUCAAGGUGCCGGGCGCCGCUGACAUUAGGCAGUUCCGACCUAUCACAGUC